GCGGGAUUCGGUUGCUGUUCUCCAUUCCAGCAGAGGAUAUUGAUUUAAGGAGGACCCCCCGCCCAGGCAGCCUGCAAUCCUAUGCAGGGAGCCAGAACAGUCCCAAGUUUCCUCGGGGCACUAGAUUUUAUACUGGAGCUGCUGGAAAGUAUGGGACCAUAUGAUCGCUGAUCUCCACACAGGACAUGAGACCAUGGCAACCAGACCUGAACAGCAGCAGGUGGCAGGCACCAUGGAUGGAGUGGAAUAUGUACUCUCUGGAGUGCUCCGGUGUCAUUGCGAUGCUUCGACUGUCGGGCCAGACCAGCAUCUCCACCAGAAUUCCUAGCUAACUAAACUUUCCCAGGCUCGGGAAUUAUCUUGUCACCAGAGAACACACCACACAGAGGCGUGAUGUUGCAUGCUCAGGAAUAGACGGCCGUACUCAGCAGUCUCAGGAGGUGCCAGUCGGGCUGGUACCCAGUGAUGCCCAGGGCACAGGGUGGCUCUGCAAGGCCUGCUAAGUCUGGAGCUAAGAACCUCAGCAGUCACACCUCACCACCCAUCACGCUACACUCCCGUCCUCACCGAGCGUCUCAUGUCACACUCCUCAUACUUCCCAGGAUCUGUAGUGAGAGGAGGACCCAAGGGUGCUCCUUGGGGUCACAGCACACAGAGAUGGAGGGCACUGCGCCUCGGUCUCUCACAGCGGUUACUGCCGAGGAUCCAUGGAAGACCUCAUCAUUAACAGAGCAGUAUGCAGCACGCAGUCAUCCACUGUAUGUCCAGAGACCACUCUGGGAAAAUACACUCCCUGCCUCACCCUGUAACUUUUCCCCUGGGCCUCUGCUCUGAGACUCUGACAGCCUUCCCCAGAGCUGAGCUGAUGCCAGGCCCUAAGCUUCCAGAAUGCAGAGAG